rnacentral:ncRNA from 2 species
CACAGCUCCCAUCUCAGAAC